rnacentral:lncRNA from 1 species
UUCUGCAAGAGAGAUCUAAGAACCAGCCCUCAAAGAUGUUUCUGAAAGAAGGACCAAAGUAAUGCCAAGAACUCCCAGAUGAAGAGGACCUUCCUUAGACCUAUAACAGAUUCACUACUUGACUUUAGAGGGAAGUUUCAGCUAAUUCUCAGGAAAAGGUCAAAACAGGCCUGUGACUGUCCCUUGAAUACUGAAGGUAUAAACAAGCUUCUGGCUCCUCCAGGUCAAGCAGAGGAACACUUUUAUUAGAAUGAAGGGUUACUUCUUUGUUAUUCAAACACACACCCACACACAUCCUCUGUAGUCUCCCUAAUGAAAAACCUCAACAGAUGGAGAGCCUGAGCUCCCAAGUCCGCAGGCUGAGAAGAUGCACUUCACUCAAGGGCCAGUGGGCUGGUACAGACUAGGGAAGAGAAAAGGGACAAAGGCUGCUAGUAUAGGUAAUCACUAUCUUUUAAUACUCCUAACACAUAGAAAUUCGAAAAAUCUUGUUCAGCAAUGUUAGCAGCCUGUGAGCCUCAGAAACUAAUUUGGCUGAUGUGUCUCUGAUAGGGAGCUUAGGGCUGCACCAAGGGGAAACAUUCUCCUCCUGUAUUCUCUCCUCUCUGUCGUUUGAAAGCCUGUACAAAGAAAUGGUACAAAUGGAUGGUUAACUUAAUGAUUCCAUCAGAGGCAGAUUUUUCUCUGUCAGGUCCCUGGAUAAGGUGGAGGUCUGAAAGCCAGGAGACAGAAUAUGUACUUAAUCGCCCUUUCUGACCUGCUUACCAGUGACCAGGACUACUCUCCAGGCCUUUCUUCUGCCACUUCCCCAUUCUUCCUGGCUAGUUCAGUUGGGUCUCAGCACUUCAACUCCUAGCUGGAUCCUGAGUUUUUCUUGGUUGCAGGGAAAGCUCUCACUGUCUGCAUCUCCUUCCCCACCCCCACCUCCCGUUUUGCAGCUGGCCAUUCUGGCUGCCUCACAGCUAUCCUGCCUUAAUUCAUAUUUGAUUGCCUGGACAGAACCACCUAGAAUGUCCAGACGACUGCCACCCCUCAGCCAUGGGCCUGAGAUCCUGCCCUGACCCCUUUCUUCAGACCCCAGGAGGACCCACAAUCUCCCUGAUCCCCACCUUCCCCAAAGUGGUCUCUAUAGGAAAAAAGCAGAGCUGGCUAAGGCCGGAGACAGAGCCAUUUCUUCCCCUUGGGCAAACGAGGUAGACCCUCCCAGAGACCAGUGCCGGAGAGGCCCGGAUCCGAGCUCCCUUUAUAUGGCCUCCCCCAUCACGGAUCCCGUGGGAAAACCUGACACACAAUGGCGAGGCUGCUCCGGGCACCCUCAACCCAGCGCCCUGCGGCAAGGCCUGGAGCAGCCUCGUGGUCUUGGUGCGCUCCCUUUGCCCUCCCCGCAACCCUCUGCGAGCACUCGUCCCGGGAGAGAGACCCUGGCUAGGGUGGAGGUUGCCUCCCGCAAAGGGCGCUGUUGCUGGGGCCUCCCCUCCCCCAUUCUCUUGUUUUUCUGCUUCUGAGACUCGGGAGGGAGGCGGCAGGCGCCUCCGCAGCCGAUAGAGCAGCUAUUGUGACCUUCCCUUGCAGAGCGGGAACCCAGCCGAGUGUGUACCGCCGGCGGUGGCGGGGGAGGAGGCGACUGUGUGUGCAAACCUCAGUCGGAGAGGGGGUGGCGCUGGGAAAUAAAGGUUUGCAACCUCAGGCAGUUGGGCCCUUCAGAGGGCGUUUGGUUGUGUUUAGACUCGGGUGCUUUCUAACACUAAUUGCAGGCUCAAAAGGAGCGGAAUUUAUUGCGAAGGCCAAGGCGGCUUGUUUAUAAUUUAUGAAGUUUUAAAUGGCUGUGCCGCGGGCCCCAACUUUCUCCCGGACUGGCAGCCGCGCGGAAACGCGCCCUCCCACGGCUCGCCGCCCACCCCCACCCACGCCCCUCAGAUGAGUCUCACGCCAAUGGCAGGAACAGAUCCGAGCUAUUAGAAGUCUCGGGAACCUCCAGAGAUGACAGAAGGUGGCAGAUUUGGUCCAAGCCCUCACCCCACUCGAGAGGAGGGCGUCGGGGAAAGCUGUGGCUGCCUGGAGAGGGAGCCCCUGAUCCCACACUUCCUUGGAGCCUGAGUGUGAGAGGAAGCUAAUGUCAGCCGGGCUAGACACCGUUUAAAGUCUAAUCCAUGAAACCCUAAGCCGCAAAUGACACUUGGGGCUUUGCAGACACCCGCAGACUCAGCAGAUACUCCUGCAGUAACACACUGUGCUGGAAAACGCCUGGAGCCAUGACACAUUAUGUAUUUUUAUUAUUAUUUAUGGUAGGAAGAGGAGAUGAGGGAAAAUCGGGUUGAAUCUAAGCAGCCUGACAAUUAAGCUAGUUAAUAUUUAGCCAGUUAAGAAAGGUGGUUGUAAUCCCUGCAAGGCAGUGAGCUCUCCUUUGAUUUCUCUAAUAGCUUAAAAAAUAAUUUCUUACAAGACAAUUAGAAAUUCUGCCUAUGGAUGCAAAUUUCAUAGAAAACAAUGUUAAGCCUUGAAAGUGGGUGAAAUGUGCCUUCGAUUGAAGUCAUUUAUUCUGUUGAUACACUUCUACAACAUAUAUAUUUUAAACCUGCUCAGAUAAAGUGAAAUUUAGCAAAAGGAUAUCCCCUCCCACCCCCAAAUCUAACAUGCCAUUUUAGAAACAGCACAAAGGAACAAGGAAACUAAAUAUUAUUUUGAGCCAUCAUUACUUAGUGAAAUACAAACAUCCAAAUAGAAACGAUUGUUGUUCCACCAGAAGAUUAGAAGUUAAAUUAUUUCCACACAAUAGGAAUUUCACUUCGUGUCAUCGGGGAUGUAGUAGGAGUUGCAUUAUUUGUCAAACCAAAUAGAGAUGCGUGGGCUGACUUUGCUGAAAUACAAAAGAAUUGAACCUUAUCUGAAGGCGUUUUCUAAGUGGCCCCUCCCAUAGAAGCCAGGAAGUUGUCCACCCCUAGCAGAAGCCACAUUAAUAUUUACAAAAUGGUUAUAAAUCCUUGAAGACAUUUUUGCCCAUUUUGUAUAAGAAACAGGAGUAAACAAGGUGUUUAUACUUGUUAUGUUUCAUUAAUGAAACUUUUAUUACUUUACAUCUUGGGGAAUGUUUGUUUUCUUUAGAAAUGAACUAAUGAUCACUACAAAGGAAGAAUUCAUGACAGCAUUUCCUAGAGAAAAAGCUUAGGUGCGCGUCUCCAAAUGAUGGUUUCUUUUUCUACACCUUAGCUUUUUCAUAGCUCAAUUCUUCUUACAACUUCUCUUGUGUUUUUUCUUUGAUUGUCAGUUUUCUUUCAAAGUUUAUUUUGUUACUUAAUGCAGAAAAGUGAGCUCUGGUCUCCCCAGUGUAAAAGUCGAUUGUGUCUACAAAGAAGGCAGUAAAAACAGCAAAGCAGGCGCUGCUUUCAAAAAGCCCUGCCCAAAUCAUCCUGCCCAGAACCUUCUUAGGUUUGCAUCCUCAUUUCCCCCUCCCCUAAUUUCAAUAGCUGGAAAGUAAUCAAGUAUCCCCAGAACCAAUUUAUGCACUAGACUCCAAAU